AAAUUAAAUUAAAAACAGAAACUAAAAAAAAAAGUUUAUUUCGAACCACCUUUUUGUACUGAUCAAAUAUUGCAAAUCACUCUUUCAUCAUCCUCCAUACUAUCAACACGCACUUUCUACAUUUAACCGUUUUGGCAAGAACGCUUCUAAACCAGUACCUUUUGGAAGAUUAUACUUCACUUUAUUAUCAAUCGAAGUUUUAUUUGAGUCGUCGAGACCCUGACCUGCACGGCAGCUACAACAACUUAAACGAUAAAGUUCGCGCCAAAAAGGCAGCCGCCAUUAUCGUGACGUCAUAAUAGCAGUGCAGUAACAAAGAAACUUCAAAUGUGCAGUGCAAACUUGACGACCUGUCUGGCCUAAUGGAUCACUACCCUGCCUAUGAAGCCGAUGGUCCCGGGUUCAAAUCCUGGUAAGGGUAUUUAUUUGUGUGAUGAGCACGGAUAUUUGUUCCUGAGUCUUGGGUGUUUUCUGUGUAUUUAUAUACCUAUUAUAUAUAUCGUUGCCUGAGUACCCACAACACAAGCCUUCUUGAGCUUACUGUGGUGCUUAGUCAAUUUGUGUAAUAAUGUCCUAUAAUAUUUAUUUAUUUAUUUACUUACGUUUGUCAUCUUCGGUAACCCCGAAAGUUUCUGAAUACAAAUAAAGAUCUAUUGAUUAUUAAUAGAGACAAUAGAAAUAAAGAUAUUAUGAAGUCUAUCACAUAAUGCAAUUACAGUUUAUAAAAGAACAAAUUACAUAAAAAGCUAUUGACGUAUGUUAUUUUAUUACGUCAGAGCAGUGUUUUUCUACAUUAUCCACGACACGAUCUCAUUUGCAUGGAAAAAAAUUACGAAUAUAGGGACAUUGACAUGAAAAUGGUUUUCGGUAAUCUCGGCUAUUUAUAACCUGUAUUAUUCUUUCUGUUUUACGGAGGCUUUGGCCCCGCGACUCUUUUUAGGGUUCCGUAGCCAAAUGGCAAAAAACGGAACCCUUAUAGAUUCAUCAUGUCCGUCUGUCUGUCCGAUUAUGUCACAGCCACUUUUUUUAAAUCUUGUAGGUUCUUUUUGACCAGGGGUUAAAAAUGCUGCUUCAGAUAAAUAAAUAGGCAGUUUUUCGAUAUUAAACGACCUUAGAUUAACACUAUGGCCUUUAAAAUUACGAUCAUUAAUCAUGAGUUUGAAACCUUUAAUCUUCCUUGCCUUUUAGCGCAUCUGGUGCCAACUGGGCCGAUUUUUUUUUCGUUGUGAAUUUUGCCCGUCUGUUUUGCACAAAUUAUAUACUAUAGGCGCAACUUCAUUGUAUAUUCCACAAAAUCACCCUCUGAGUCUCUGUACCUAAGUUAUUUUUUUUGUACCAAAUUGGGACUUCGUAUUUAUUUCACCCAGAAUUUAACUUAGAUAAGAUCGUGUCAUUCACGACGAUGCGUAGGUAUCUUAACUCAUGUCAUAAUGUUAUUAAAGGUUAAAUUUGACAAAACUGCGCGUCAUUGAAGUUUUAUCAAAAUCUGACUUCAAUAAAAAUCGGCUCAACUUAUAGGGAGCGUGCAUGAACUGUAGGAGGCAGCACAGGAGCCGUCAGAUUUUUGGCGCGAGGCGUAAAUGUGAUGUUUUUUGUUCCGAUUUAGCCCACAAGAUGGCAGAACCUACUAUGCACAAGAAAACACGUGACGUGUACAUGUGCAUGUUUAUGGUUCCGAUUCAGGCCACAAGAUGGCAGACCCUCCAACGCGCACGGUCCCUAUACCUAUUGACAUAAUGCCAAAUGUAAAUACCUACUGCAAUGUUUGUUUAGUUAUGAAUCUCUCUGGCCUAUCAUUUACUAAUCCUCAAAUAGUUGAGUAAUAGGUAUUUGAUAGCGAGCUUGCAAUCAUACGAUGUGCAGUCAUGAUAGACACGAAAUAUGUAAUGAGCAUUAUGAAACUAGAAAAACCUUCACGGCACCGGUGGAGUGGGGUAUUUCAUAGUUCAACCCUUUCACUGCCAUGACAUAAUCUUAUACCUUUAAGGGCCUACGCUAGCUGAUGCGACAGAGAGGCAACACGUCGAACGUGGUUCGCGGUAAGCCCUCUGGUCCCUACAUAACCCAGCUUAUCAUACCAGCCCAGCCCACAAGUACCUAAUCGUAUUCGUUAUCUAUACUAUUUUUCAAACAGGAAGGGUACGCUGACAGAAUAAUGAAUGAUUUGAUAAAAUUUAGCGAGAUGGCGUUUUAAGCUUGUUGCGGAGAUGACACCUGUCACCGUACCCAUAGUGUUUGAAAGAUAUAGUGGCGGUGAAUGCAAAAUAAAAUACUUCACUUUCGUAUAUUUUGAAUAUACUUACUUCAUACAGAAUGGGUUAAUUGGGUUACCUUUUUCAGCGUAGUAACAGAUUUAGACUCUGAGGACUUGAGCUACCAACACUACUCUGACACCAACUGAAGUACAUAAAAUUGAUUACUCGAUGUUUUUUUAUACCAUGACUGGCAUACGAUCCACUUCAUAGUAAGCUAACAUCGAAAGUUGUUGAAUAAAGAUGCGCAAGGUAUUUCGUCUGGGCUGCUAAAAUAUUUAGACAUACCACUUUUUUUUACUUAUUUUUCUGCUUCUAUAUAGUAUGAAUUGUUAUUAUUCGUCAGGGGGUAGAAUCCAAAGCAAGCAAGAGCAGAAUAUUUAUUAUUUUCUAAUGAAACCUACCAGAACGCAAAGAAUUUGGAAUGACCAAGGUAAUAAAUUUAAGAGAUACAGACGUUCAAUGAAGGGGGACGAAAAUUUGAGCCUGGAUAUGGGUCUAUGGGCACUCAGUUCAGGCAAUGAGACAGAUAACAUAGAACCAAUUAGAAACCGUUGGAGAAGCUGGAGAAAUAUUGAGCAGCAGCAUCGUGAAAGCAGUGGAGAAGACGAGGAAUGGGGUCGUCUGGGUGAGUCGAUAAGUUUUCAGAUUUUUUGGCCCCAUGGUUCAAGAGGAGGUAACAUAUUUUUUUCUUUCGGAGCUAUUGUUUCAGAAAAUAUUAACAUUAUCAAAAAAUGGUCUGUCGAGACCCUUAUUCGUUUUGAAAUAAUUAUAAAUUUGUAUAGCGACCAAGAAUUGUUUUAAAAAAAAUCUUUUAUUUCGUGUAACAAGAGACAUAUCUUCUUAAACUAAAAAACUAAAUUUUAAAAAUCCUUAUUUAUUAAACGGGCUUUACCAUUCGACAGUACUAGUGGGUGAAUGUAAUCUUCCACAAUGUGAUAAAUAGACACAAUCCACCCUCUCGGCUAUCAUCUUCAGAAUGAUGUUGGGACUGCCCCGCACCCGACCAAAUAAAUAAACUAUUGGGUCAAAGCAAAAAAUAAACAAAUAAAAUUUUGUAUGUGCGGUAAAUUUAUUUGUAGUUUUUGUUUUUAGACGGUAGAUACUGGUAUGUUAUUAUUUUUAAAUUCUAUGCAUAAAAAAGUUAUAUUAUACCUCUUGCGUCAAAUGAUGGUGGUGGCGGACGACGAGGCGGCGGCGGCCGACUGGGCGCGCCUCACCUUCGACCUCAAGCGCGCCAAGCUGUCCCGCGACUCGGUGAGCACACACCUCCACUAUCGACCUCACCGUCCUCACCACACAGGCGCUCCCGUACUCAUGUAGUAUGGGAGCGCGACCUCUUCUUUUGGUUGCGCUUACAACUAUGACCAUUACUCGUGUAAUUUAAAUAUAUUUACAAAAAAUAAGUUUCACCCCACCUGGGCUAUUAUAGUAUAAACAGGUGUAGAUUACGACUCGGUUGAAUUACCCAAAUCGUAGCAUUUUACAAGUAACAUUGCACCUAUGUGGCCUCGUGCUUUUUGUAAACCCUUCAUGAUGCAGUUCGGUGUAUUAUAGUAGCAUACGACGAAAUAUGGCAACAUUCACUCUCUAAAAGUAAAAGUUUAAACAUUAAAGAUUGGCAGAGUUCUCUUGCA